rnacentral:rRNA from 1 species
CUGAUGUGGGGGAUAACCAUUGGAAACGAUGGCUAAUACCGCAUGAUGCCUACGGGCCAAAGAGGGGGACCUUCGGGCCUCUCGCGUCAGGAUAUGCCUAGGUGGGAUUAGCUAGUUGGUGAGGUAAGGGCUCACCAAGGCGACGAUCCCUAGCUGGUCUGAGAGGAUGAUCAGCCACACUGGAACUGAGACACGGUCCAGACUCCUACGGGAGGCAGCAGUGGGGAAUAUUGCACAAUGGGCGCAAGCCUGAUGCAGCCAUGCCGCGUGUGUGAAGAAGGCCUUCGGGUUGUAAAGCACUUUCAGUCGUGAGGAAGGUAGUGUAGUUAAUAGCUGCAUUAUUUGACGUUAGCGACAGAAGAAGCACCGGCUAACUCCGUGCCAGCAGCCGCGGUAAUACGGAGGGUGCGAGCGUUAAUCGGAAUUACUGGGCGUAAAGCGCAUGCAGGUGGUUUGUUAAGUCAGAUGUGAAAGCCCGGGGCUCAACCUCGGAAUUGCAUUUGAAACUGGCAGACUAGAGUACUGUAGAGGGGGGGUAGAAUUUCAGGUGUAGCGGUGAAAUGCGUAGAGAUCUGAAGGAAUACCGGUGGCGAAGGCGGCCCCCUGGACAGAUACUGACACUCAGAUGCGAAAGCGUGGGGAGCAAACAGGAUUAGAUACCCUGGUAGUCCACGCCGUAAACGAUGUCUACUUGGAGGUUGUGGCCUUGAGCCGUGGCUUUCGGAGCUAACGCGUUAAGUAGACCGCCUGGGGGAGUACGGUCGCAAGAUUAAAACUCAAAUGAAUUGACGGGGGCCCGCACAAGCGGUGGAGCAUGUGGUUUAAUUCGAUGCAACGCGAAGAACCUUACCUACUCUUGACAUCCAGAGAACUUUCCAGAGAUGGAUUGGUGCCUUCGGGAACUCUGAGACAGGUGCUGCAUGGCUGUCGUCAGCUCGUGUUGUGAAAUGUUGGGUUAAGUCCCGCAACGAGCGCAACCCUUAUCCUUGUUUGCCAGCGAGUAAUGUCGGGAACUCCAGGGAGACUGCCGGUGAUAAACCGGAGGAAGGUGGGGACGACGUCAAGUCAUCAUGGCCCUUACGAGUAGGGCUACACACGUGCUACAAUGGCGCAUACAGAGGGCGGCCAACUUGCGAAAGUGAGCGAAUCCCAAAAAGUGCGUCGUAGUCCGGAUUGGAGUCUGCAACUCGACUCCAUGAAGUCGGAAUCGCUAGUAAUCGUGGAUCAGAAUGCCACGGUGAAUACGUUCCCGGGCCUUGUACACACCGCCCGUCACACCAUGGGAGUGGGCUG